rnacentral:lncRNA from 1 species
GUGAAGGGAUAAAGAAACUUCCAUCCAUACAAUGGAAUACUACUCAGCAAGAAAAAGGAACGAACCAUUGAUAAACAAAGCAAUGUGGAUGCAUUCUGCAGACAGCAUGUUGAGGGAAGGAAGCCAGACUCAAAAGACUGUGAUCUCCUGAGGGGGACUGUCAUAGCCCAGCCCCAGCCCAGAGCCUGUCACAUAGGAUGACAUCAGGAAAUGUCUGCUAUGGAAUGAAGGCAGGGUGGCUCUAUUUCCUCUACAUGCCUCCGAGGACAACACCCAUCCUCCAAAAGAAGUGAAUUCAGAGCAAAUGCAAGGCCCAGCAUGGAAAGACUCACCACAGCAAAUAAGUAGUGGAGAUUCAUGGAUCGCCAACUUCUCACAGCAAAGACCACGGCUCCCACAAGGAACGCACAAGCAAUCAGGUCGUUGAAGAGGUCCUGAAGGUGGAGAGGAAUCCAAGGAUAUCAGCAGAAUGUCAUCAGACUGGGAUCAAUUUUUAUGGUAAUUCCCAGGGAUGAAGGUUUCUGGGCUGCAUGAAGGUUUCUAGGCUGCAGGUAACAAAAAUUCAAACUCCAAUCUGUACAAAGGGCAGGCUUAAGCUUUCUAUUUCUCAAGGAAGACUUCCUCUCCGCCCACUCAAAGCUCAGGCAGAGAUGAACAUGUUUUCUUAUUCCUCUGUGUUGGGAAUAAGAAGGGUAUGUGUCUUUGUCCAUCUUUUGCCUAAGGAGGUAGUCUUUCCAGGGUGCUGGCUUUAUACAGGGUUUUCAGUUCUAAACUCCCACUUUGCUUAGGAUCAAGGCCUUAUUUCCUGACUUGAGAGUGCAUGAAAAUCCAGGCUGUAGGUUCCUGAGACAAUACCUCUUGGACCAUUCCCACUCAUACUUUGUAGCUUAUGUGAUCACUGCCCUGUUUUCCAUUUCUGGCGCCUGUGUGUUUUCAUUUCUUUUUUGCCAGCUCAUUCAUUCAGUUAAAGCAAUACUGGUUACAUUUCCCCUGGUAUUUUUAGGUAAGCACAGCAGGAAGACGUUCAGGGUUCAUUGGUUUUUCAUCUUGCUGGAACUAAAAAUGUCUUCUCAGGCUCCUUGUUUAGGAACUUGUCCUCUGCCUGUCCUUUUACCUUGUCCUCUGCUUGUCCCUUUCUGAGAGUCCUUAUUUGGCCCUCCUGUCCUUUCUCCCUGUAUCGGAGGUCCUCAUCUGCUUCACCAAGACCUCUGGAUCCCUGGACCCUAAUAGCUUUUAACAAGAAGGCAGGAUGAAAUGUACUCGUAAAGCUAAGUUUGAAGCUUUUUUCUGCUACUUACCAGCUGAGUGACCUGGGGGCAAGUUACUUGGCCAUUCUAGGCCAAUUUCCUCAUGUGUAACGUGAGUGAAACAGUGAACAAGAGGGCUCUGGAGGCAGGCUGUGAAUGUGCAAUGAACAAAGGGACUUGGGAAUUGGGGUCUUCAUUGACUGGCAAGGGGUUAGGUGGGUGUGCCCUGUGGUUAAACAGGUGAUGGGCAGGGAUUCAAUUCCAUGAGUCCUCAGGCACGGUGUGAAGCAAUUUACAUUUAAUCCUCAGGAUUGAAUGUCAGUUCUGCAAGGAAUGUGACUGUCUCAUGUUACAGAUGAGGAAACAGGCUGGGAAUGGUUUAGUAACUUGCCCAGUUCUGUCUCUUUCCACUAGACGACUGCUUUGGGCUGAACAUCCUUCUGAUCCAAACAUCCUUUAUAGGGAUAUUCAUUGGAGACCUAACGCUGCUUUAGAAGUGAUUUUUUAAAAAAAUUCCCAUUUUGUUUUAUUUUAUUGACUUAUGGGAGAGUAAUUUUCUUCUUUGAAUUUUGGGAAUGGGGUCCUUCUGGGGUGAUCUCCUGUCAAGUGUGAGCUGGCACAGGAGUUCGGAGGAACAGCUGGUUGCUACACCUCCCCUUCCCCUAAAGAGAACAAAGGCUCAGGCCCUCUUUGACCACCAGGUAAGUAAGAGUUCCCCACUCUCACUCCAACACACAGAUAGGCUUUUUGGAGCAUUUUCUGCCUAGCUACCCCUCUUGCACCCAGCUGCCUCUGCCUGGGCCCCACUGAUGUUCUGAGUCCCUGACCCAGGCACAGAUGUGGGAGGUGAGGUGUGUCUCUCUGUUUGGUGACUUUCCAGGUGCCAAGACACACCUGAUCAGCAUUCUGGACGUAGGCACUCCCCAUCACCCCUUACUUACAGAAUGGGCCACAGGAUGAAGGGUAUGUAUCUAUGAAUGGCAAAGCUGUACAGUAAGAUGAAGAAGCUGAAGAUGGAUAUCUCCAUGGUGAUGAUAAGCCUCAAGAUGGGGUGCACGGUGAGUGAGGACAACAGUAUCAUUGCCGCUAUUAGGCAGCCCUGCAGUGAGACAUAGACACCUGAGCCAGCAGCAAGGGCCUCACCAUCUCUCUGAGGACCCCUGGAGCCUACUUCUCCUUCCCCCACCCUCGGCCAAGGCCCCCCACCCAGGGAUACCAGUUUAGCUCACCAAACUCAGAAUCUUGAUCUCAGCGUGCCCCAAGAGCCAGAACUCUUUAUUGCUGUCUUUUAAUUCCCACCGGUAGCGGCGACACCCCCUCCUCGUGCCCACUUCGUGCUUGGGCUGCACCGCCUUUUGAGGUUUGUCCGAUGGCUCCUUAUCGUCCUUCUUAUCUUCCUCGGGUUUGGCCCCGGGUGGAGGUGGAGCUGGCGCUGGCUCUGGCUUGGCCCCCUUUGCCGCCUUAGGUGCCAUGACUGACUCGGUGUCCUUGGCUUCUCACAGCUGGCCUGUUUCUUCUCUCUCCUGCUGUUUCUGGGUAGGCCAGGCCUACUAGAGUGCCUGGUGUCCAACGAGCGGCUCAGAGGGCGCGCUCAGCUAACUGCCAGGACCACCGAAUGCCAACUCCCGCGCCCUCUCCACGCGCGCCCGUCUCCUCGCGCAGCUCCCAUCCGCCAGGCAGCGGCCGGAUCCGCCCACCCUCCACGCGCCGGCCCCCGACGGGCCCCAACUCCGUUUCCAACCCGCCGGUCCCACCUCCGCGCGGAGCUGCCCUCGCGGUCCCAUCCCGGCGUCUCCAGGUGGCCCCAGGCUUUUUCUGGUAAGGACCGCUGGGAUUGAACAGAAGCUUCCGGUAAAUAAGGGCCCCGUCGGCAAGACAGCAUACUGCUGUCACAAGUGCAAACACCUGGAAAGAAAGACACGUGUCACUGCCCUAACCAUGGUCCCCACUCCUGUCAUUCACACAAGUUUUAAGUGGUCUGCCCACCAGAUUCCUCUCUUGCUAGGGUACUCGGAUUGCUCCCUGUGCUUCAUCUAAUACUAAUAUGGAGAGACUUCAGAGAUCAUCUUAUUCUCCUCAUUGCUAAGUUUUCUAAAUACUUGCCUAUAGAAAGAGAAAAGAUAAUUUAAGUGAGCAGAAAAAUAAUAAAGCAGUGUGGGCUCUGAAAUCCAUACUUGUUUGCUUUUAUCUCUUGACCUUCUCUUGCAUGUAUUCUUUUAAGCCCUACUAAGGAUAUUUAGUUAUUAAUAUUUCUAACCCCAGUGUUCAACUCUGACUUCUCUACUGACAAACUCACAGAAGAAAAGGUCAAAGUUAACACCAGCUCAAUAUUAAAUCAUGGGGACUGUAGCUCCAGAAAACUGGAGUUAAUAAGAUGAUCCAAAGUGAACUCUCAAAGGCUAGGCUACAUCUGCUUAAGGGGUGAGAUUCUAAAUAGACCUUAAGAAAGUAAAAUUAGAUAAAAACAAUAACUAAGAACACGUGGGGGCCUUCAGACACUCUGAUGGCUAUCUGAGAGCUGGUGCCUGGGGUGGGAGAGGGGGAUGUCAUUCCUUGCAUGCUGUUUGGUCAGCUUCUUCCAGUCAUCAGGAAGUUUGGCUUCCUGGCUCCAGACAUGGCUCUCACAGUCUCCUUUUCCACCCAGAGUCUCAAGCCACUGCCUCCUAGGUUCUGACCACACUGAAUACCUCCUACCAAUCUUUUCAUGACUGGCACUCUGUACACUAUUGGCUCCUCUACCUGGAACCUUUUCCCUUUUUUCUCCUUUAUUCUCAGCAAACAGC